rnacentral:rRNA from 1 species
ACGAACGCUGGCGGCGUGCUUAACCCCUGCAAGUCGCACGGAAAGGCCCUGCUUUUGUGGGGUGCUCGAGUGGCGAACGGGUGAGUAACACGUGAGUAACCUGCCCUUGACUUUGGGAUAACUUCAGGAAACUGGGGCUAAUACCGGAUAGGAGCUCCUGCUGCAUGGUGGGGGUUGGAAAGUUUCGGCGGUUGGGGAUGGACUCGCGGCUUAUCAGCUUGUUGGUGGGGUAGUGGCUUACCAAGGCUUUGACGGGUAGCCGGCCUGAGAGGGUGACCGGCCACAUUGGGAAUGAGAUACGGCCCAGAAUCCUACGGGAGGCAGGAGGGGGGAAUAUUGCACAAUGGGCGGAAGCCUGAUUCAGCAACGCCGCGUGCGGGAAUGCGGCCUUCGGGUUUGAAACCGCUUUCGCCUGUGACGAAGCGUGAGUGACGGUAAUGGGUAAAGAAGCACCGGCUAACUACGUG